rnacentral:rRNA from 1 species
CCUACGGGAGGCAGCAGUGGGGAAUAUUGCACAAUGGGGGAAACCCUGAUGCAGCGACGCCGCGUGAGUGAAGAAGUAUUUCGGUAUGUAAAGCUCUAUCAGCAGGGAAGAAAAUGACGGUACCUGACUAAGAAGCCCCGGCUAACUACGUGCCAGCAGCCGCGGUAAUACGUAGGGGGCAAGCGUUAUCCGGAUUUACUGGGUGUAAAGGGAGCGUAGACGGCAGGGCAAGUCUGAAGUGAAAUGCCGGGGCCCAACGCCGGGACUGCUUUGGAAACUGCGCGGCUAGAGUGCUGGAGAGGUAAGCGGAAUUCCUGGUGUAGCGGUGAAAUGCGUAGAUAUUAGGAGGAACACCAGUGGCGAAGGCGGCUUACUGGACAGUAACUGACGUUGAGGCUCGAAAGCGUGGGGAGCAAACAGGAUUAGAUACCCGGGUAGUC